CAGAUUUCAAUAAUAGGUUAUACAAUACUGGUAUUAUAUUUUCUGUGAGAGAGUCAUUUGUUCAAACUUUGAAUGAAGGUUUUCUUUUUUUCAGUUUAUGUACUUGCAUAGUCAUAAGUGCAUUAUAAGUAUGUAAAAUUGUACAAUACAGUUAUUUUAAAUUACUCAAGUGCUUACAUCGGAGGAAGAAAGUUACGUAAGAGACUUUAUUAAGACACUCGGGCAGGAUAUCAUUUCAACUUUAUCUGUGCAAAGUUACAUAA
rnacentral:lncRNA from 1 species